rnacentral:misc_RNA from 1 species
UGACGGUUGUAGUUCCUCAAAUCCUGAAGCAAACUAGGCUUUAUUAGGAUAGUUUAUGAGUGCUAAUGAGGAAAUUAUUUAGUGGCAUAAAAGAUUAGGACAUCUAUCUUUUCCUGCUGUAAAAAGGUUAUAUCCUAAUUUGUUUUAAGAACUGCAACCCAAAUUUACUAGUUUGUAAUGCUUGUAAAUUUAUUAAACACACAAGAUAAUCGUAUCCCUCAAUAAAUAAUAAAACUUUAGUUUCUUUUAUGACUAUUCAUUCUGAUA